rnacentral:rRNA from 1 species
GUGGGGAAUAUUGGACAAUGGGCGAAAGCCUGAUCCAGCCAUGCCGCGUGUGUGAAGAAGGUCUUCGGAUUGUAAAGCACUUUAAGUUGGGAGGAAGGGCAGUAAGUUAAUACCUUGCUGUUUUGACGUUACCGACAGAAUAAGCACCGGCUAACUUCGUGCCAGCAGUCGCGGUAAUACGAAGGGUGCAAGCGUUAAUCGGAAUUACUGGGCGUAAAGCGCGCGUAGGUGGUUUUGUAAGUUGGAGGUGAAAUCCCCGGGCUCAACCUAGGAACUGCCUCGAAAACUGGAUGACUAGAGUACGGUAGAGGGUAGUGGAAUUUCCUGUGUAGCGGUGAAAUGCGUAGAUAUAGGAAGGAACACCAGUGGCGAAGGCGACUACCUGGACUGAUACUGACACUGAGGUGCGAAAGCGUGGGGAGCAAACAGGAUUAGAUACCCGAGUAGUCC